UGGGGUAUAUUGGACAAUGGGGGGAACCCUGAUCCAGCCAUGCCGCGUGUGUGAAGAAGGCCUUAUGGUUGUAAAGCACUUUAAGCGAGGAGGAGGGUACUGGUAUUAAUACUACCAGCUACUGGACGUUACUCGCAGAAUAAGCACCGGCUAACUCUGUGCCAGCAGCCGCGGUAAUACAGAGGGUGCGAGCGUUAAUCGGAUUUACUGGGCGUAAAGCGUGCGUAGGCGGCUAAUUGAGUCGGAUGUGAAAUCCCCGAGCUUAACUUGGGAAUUGCAUUCGAUACUGGUUAGCUAGAGUGUGGGAGAGGAUGGUAGAAUUCCAGGUGUAGCGGUGAAAUGCGUAGAGAUCUGGAGGAAUACCGAUGGCGAAGGCAGCCAUCUGGCCUAACACUGACGCUGAGGUACGAAAGCAUGGGGAGCAAACAGG
rnacentral:rRNA from 1 species